GGUGAUUAAAAAUUCUCAUCGUGCCCAUGUGCUUUGUGCCCUCUCCUUUGUCAUUCUGCAGUUGGGUAUCAAAGCUGUAGCAUCUAUGUUCUUUGAAGACUAAGCAGAAUGAGUUCUUGGCCUUGGCUGUUGAGGACAGAACGUCCUGAGCCAAAUGGGACAGUGGCUGAGUGAGGACACCAAACCUAUUCUUAGGAGUUGUCUUGAAAUUCUUACUAACUUUUGAACGUGGAACCCUACAUCUUCGUUUUGUACUGGUCCCCACAUAUUUUAUAGCUGAUCUGAAGGAGGAGAGAGAGAUGAUGGGGGAUGAAGGGUAUGGAAUUGUAUGCUAUGGCUGCCUGCUGUCGAAGUUCUCCAGGAAUCAGCUGGCUGGAGGAAUUUUGGAAGGGGUGAGGCAUACACUUUCUUCUAUGUUCCUGAAACCACAACAUUGUUAGGACUCAUCUGUUCAUGAGACCAGACCAAUAGAAAAUGAGCACUUCGUGGAUAAAAAAUACAGAUGGAAACUUAGUGAAAUGUGACCUCCAGUGCUGGAGAUGGACCUAAUGGGAAGUGUUUGAGUCAUGAGAGAAUAUCCUUUAUGAAUGGCUUGGUGCCUUCCCUGUGGCCAUGAGUUACUACAAGAUCUGAUUGUUAAAAAAAGAUUCUAGGACUUCCUGUCCCUCUGUCUUACUCCUCUUUUACCAUGUGACAUGCCUGCUUCCCCUUCACCUUCUGUCAUGAUUGUAAGCUUCCUGAGGUUCCCAUCAGAAGCAGAGUAGUUGCUGGUGUCAUGCUUGUACAGCCCAUGGAGCUGUGAACCAAAUAAACUUCUUUUCUUUAUAAAUUACCUAG
rnacentral:lncRNA from 1 species